UACGAAGGGGGCAAGUGUUGUUCGGAAUUACUGGGCGUAAAGGGCGCGUAGGCGGCUUAUCAAGUCAGGCGUGAAAUUCCCGGGCUCAACCUGGGGGCUGCGCUUGAUACUGAUUGGCUUGAAUCCGGGAGAGGGAUGUGGAAUUCCAGGUGUAGCGGUGAAAUGCGUAGAUAUCUGGAGGAACACCGGUGGCGAAGGCGGCAUCCUGGACCGGCAUUGACGCUGAGGCGCGAAAGCUAGGGGAGCAAACGGG
rnacentral:rRNA from 1 species